ACUGCUUCGACUACAACGAGUUGUAUUCGGCGUCUCAGCCCGCUUGGUCAGCGGUUAAUAUUAUACUAGCGUUAGUCCCAAAACCACCACGUUUCAGUCGAGAUAGACUCCUCAACCUUGAGGGCAAUGCAUCCAGCGCGACAAGUCCCACCGGCGUGCAUUGGGCUCCCCCUCUCCUCCCGUAGUACCAAUUAAUAAUUUUGGUGAACAUUGGUAGAUUCACCCGAGGCUUUCGCCUCUCCCACUAUUUUGACCUCCGAGUAGGCCGGCUAGUGGUUGGCCAUAAUUGAGACUUUAGAAACACCAGCUGUUUCAGGGGGUCUCAANCCCUCCGGACGUCUAUGUUCCGGCAUGUGUCCUCCAGGUGGUAGAUAGUCGCCACUUACGACUGGCCCGGAGUUCGCCGUAUGUGUAUUCUAAGCAUACAGGGCAUACAGGCCCUUUUGAGUCACUUCCGGAGGAAGUGGUCAAGCGCCCGUAUGAAAAUGAGAACAGUCUCUCCACCCCCCGCUGCGUCGCGUUAGGGUGGAGCGUACUGCGCUCACCGGUCCGUUCGGUCGAUGAGUGCGUUCCUGGCGAAGGUACACAGCCCAUCAUAUCUCUUCCUCGUUAAUACUAAUUGUGAUGGUUCGCACGGCCAUGUGCCGCCAUCGUUCUGAAUCUUUCCUUCGAGUAUUACGCGGUGGUUCGUUACACGCGGGCAGUCGAAAAGUACGUGUGAAACGUCUUCCAGAUCCGCUCCGCAUGCGCAUGUUGGUUCUUCCGCCAACCUAAACUGAAACAGCUUCGCCCUAAAAUCACCGUGUCCGGUAAGAAAUUGUGUUACGAAGUGAUCCAGUUCAAGUGGCAU